GGCCAGAUGCCCGAGCGGUUAAGGGGAUAGACUCGAAUCACAUCGACUCGCUAUCUAUUAGGCUUUGCCUGCGCAGGUUCAAGUCCUGCUCUGGUCG
rnacentral:tRNA from 2 species